rfam:Trichobilharzia regenti genome assembly, scaffold: TRE_contig0026560
AGCCCACUGUAUCCGUGCUGAGAUUUCGUCAGAGAUCAACCCGUUGGGACUGAUGUAACUUCCCAGAUGAGUGAAGCG